rnacentral:rRNA from 1 species
CAUGGCUCAGAUUGAACGCUGGCGGCAGGCCUAACACAUGCAAGUCGAGCGGGGUUUUCGGACCUAGCGGCGGACGGGUGAGUAAUGCGUAGGAAGCUACCCGAUAGAGGGGGAUACCAGUUGGAAACGACUGUUAAUACCGCAUAAUGUCUACGGACCAAAGUGUGGGACCUUCGGGCCACAUGCUAUCGGAUGCGCCUACGUGGGAUUAGCUAGUUGGUGGGGUAAUGGCUCACCAAGGCGACGAUCCCUAGCUGGUUUGAGAGGAUGAUCAGCCACACUGGAACUGAGACACGGUCCAGACUCCUACGGGAGGCAGCAGUGGGGAAUAUUGGACAAUGGGCGCAAGCCUGAUCCAGCCAUGCCGCGUGUGUGAAGAAGGCCUUCGGGUUGUAAAGCACUUUCAGCGAGGAGGAAGGGUUAGUAGUUAAUAGCUGCUAAUUUUGACGUUACUCGCAGAAGAAGCACCGGCUAACUCUGUGCCAGCAGCCGCGGUAAUACAGAGGGUGCAAGCGUUAAUCGGAAUUACUGGGCGUAAAGCGCACGUAGGCGGUUUUUUAAGUCAGAUGUGAAAGCCCCGGGCUCAACCUGGGAAUUGCAUUUGAAACUGGAAAACUAGAGUGUGUGAGAGGGGGGUAGAAUUCCAAGUGUAGCGGUGAAAUGCGUAGAGAUUUGGAGGAAUACCAGUGGCGAAGGCGGCCCCCUGGCACAACACUGACGCUCAGG